AUACGUAGGGUGCGAGCGUUGUCCGGAAUUACUGGGCGUAAAGAGCUCGUAGGCGGUUUGUCGCGUCGUCUGUGAAAUUCCGGGGCUUGACUCCGGGCGUGCAGGCGAUACGGGCAUAACUUGAGUACUGUAGGGGAGACUGGAAUUCCUGGUGUAGCGGUGAAAUGCGCAGAUAUCUGGCGGAACACCGGUGGCGAAGGGGGGUCUCUGGGCAGUAACUGACGCUGAGGAGCGAAAGCAGGGGUAGCGAACAGGAUUAGAUACCCUGGUAGUCCAUGCCGUAAACGGUGGGCGCUAGGUGUAGGGGUCUUCCACGACUUCUGUGCCGUAGCUAACGCAUUAAGCGCCCCGCCUGGGGAGUACGGCCGCAAGGCUAAAACUUAAAGGAAUUGACGGGG
rnacentral:rRNA from 1 species